UCCCAAGCUGUUUUGGCUCUUUGCAUGGGCAAUGUUUGGCCUCUUGUCUGAUUAAACUAGGGUUUUUUCUCCCCAUAUCUAGCUUAAUCUUCUUACAGUAUUUUUUAAUUGUUUCCUAUUUUUUGGGGGAUCUUUGGUUUACACCUUUUGAUUGUCUGUUUCAGGGGAGUUAAGGGCGUGGUUGGACUUGGAAAGUGGUUCGACUCUUUCUUGAAUGAGGGAAGCUUCUAUCUUGUUGCUCGAGUCCUUUUGAUCAUUUCAGUGCUCGUGGUUUGGAGAGGUUCUUUGGAGGUGCUAGAGUGGUCAAAUCCACGAUUUUGGGAUGUCGUAGGACGGUUGUUUUAGCUUCGCGACAGCGCCUCUGAUUCGUUUCUAGGUUGAUGAUGUUGGCACUACGUUAUUUUCUCAAGUCUCACAUAUUUUUGUAAGAGCUUCAUCUUCCAAUGCCUUGAUUUUUUUCCUAAGACUGUUAGCAAUUUAAAUAGGAAAAUUGAAAUAAGAAAAAUAAGGUAAUGUUACAAAAAUGUUAAAAUUUUAAAAAU
rnacentral:lncRNA from 1 species